rnacentral:rRNA from 1 species
CCUUGAGGCGUGGCUUCCGGAGCUAACGCGUUAAGUCGACCGCCUGGGGAGUACGGCCGCAAGGUUAAAACUCAAAUGAAUUGACGGGGGCCCGCACAAGCGGUGGAGCAUGUGGUUUAAUUCGAUGCAACGCGAAGAACCUUACCUACUCUUGACAUCCAGCGAACUUUCCAGAGAUGGAUUGGUGCCUUCGGGAACGCUGAGACAGGUGCUGCAUGGCUGUCGUCAGCUCGUGUUGUGAAAUGUUGGGUUAAGUCCCGCAACGAGCGCAACCCUUAUCCUUUGUUGCCAGCGAUUCGGUCGGGAACUCAAAGGAGACUGCCGGUGAUAAACCGGAGGAAGGUGGGGAUGACGUCAAGUCAUCAUGGCCCUUACGAGUAGGGCUACACACGUGCUACAAUGGCGCAUACAAAGAGAAGCGACCUCGCGAGAGCAAGCGGACCUCACAAAGUGCGUCGUAGUCCGGAUCGGAGUCUGCAACUCGACUCCGUGAAGUCGGAAUCGCUAGUAAUCGUGGAUCAGAAUGCCACGGUGAAUACGUUCCCGGGCCUUGUACACACCGCCCGUCACACCA